rnacentral:ncRNA from 1 species
GUGCGGUCGCAAAAGCUAAGUUUUUUGAACGUCGGCUCCCCCCACGGCUCCGAAGGGACGAACAAUCGCCAACCGGCGAUUAAGCGCAAAAAGCAAU